rnacentral:lncRNA from 13 species
AUGUACAACAUCAGUAACUUCAAGUCUAAGGACAGUGGACAUUACCACUGUGAGGCCUGGAAUAGAAGAGGAUCUAGGAACUCUACAGCUCUGAUGAUCAUUUUACCAGGGAAACAAACAGUUGUGACUGCAGCUGUAGGAAUCAUAGUGGUGGUUCUGGUUCUCAUCCUCUGUUUCUCUGGAUUCAUGUGGUUCAGGAAGAAGGCCUCCAUAUCCACCUCUGACACAAGAGACACAUCAGAGAAAGUACAGGGAGACUCUAGUCCAGUGUAUGAAAACGUCUCAAACAUGGCCGUGACCCCUACUGCAGCACAGACAGAGUCCACAGUCGACCAGGAUGAUGUUCACUAUGCCAGCGUCCACUUCUCUCGCUCCAAAAACCAGGAAGUGCCUCUGUACUCCACCGUCCAGCUGCCUCAACCCCAGAAACAGGAAGAGGAUGUCCAGUACGAUGCUGUGAAAUUCAACCUCCCCAGUGCUGCCACCCGCUCAUUCAUAUGCUGCUACUUAUUGGAACGAGAAGACCAUGAUGUCAUCAAUAAGCAAAAGAGUUGACCCUCAGUGGCCACUAGUGAUGUCAUUUCAUUAAACUACAAACCUAACAAUGGAAAUCUCAAGACAAUUCCCAUGUCUAUAAUGAGAGUGGUGGUUUUGAGGAACUAUUCUGUGUUCCAAAUGGAACCCUAUUCCUUAUUUAGUGCACUACAUUUCACCAGAACCUUAGAGGCCUUGCUCAAAGUAAUGCACUAUAAAGAGUAUAUGAAGGUUUUUGGGGGGAUGCAGAUUCUGUUUCAUUUCUGUUUCUCUCUCCUCAGACCCACAGCAGCACAAGCAGCUGAGGAGGACUCAUCUGUUCUCUACAGUACAGUCAACAAACCUGAACCAAGAAGACCUGAACAUUACAAACCCAGAACCGAGAAGACCUGAACACAACAAACCCAGAACCAAGAAGACCUGAACACAACAAACCCAGAACCAAGAAGACCUGAACACAACAUACCCAGAACCAAGACCUGAACACGACAAACCCAGAACCAAGACCUGAACACAACAUACCCAGAACCAAGAAGACCUGAACACAACAAACCCAGAACCAAGAAGACCUGAACACAACAUACCCAGAACCUAGACCUGAACACAACAAACCCAGAACCAAGAAAACCUGAACACAAGUUUGACAGAAACCCUGUAUAGCUGGACCUGUAUAGUCCAACUAAGUGUUAUAACAAUGUAUCAUAAGAUUUGCCAUUUAGAAAAUGCUUUUAUCCAAAGAGACUUAUAAUUAUGUGUGAAUACAUUCUACAUGCCGGUGGCCCCACUGGGAAUGGAAACCAUGCACCAUGCUCUACCACCUGAGACACAGGACUACUGUAUUCACACUUAGUUGGAGUGCUGAUCUAUGGUCAGUUUUGUCUUAUAAACAAUGCUGUACUUGUCCUCUUGCUCAGUUGUGCACCGGGGCCUCCCACUCCUCUUUCUAUUCUGGUUAGAGCCAGUUUGCGCUGUUCUGUGAAGGGAGUAGUACGUUGUACGAGAUCUUCAGUUUCUUGGCAAUUUCUCGCAUGGAAUAGCCUUAAUUUCUCAGAACAAGAAUAGAAUGAUGAGUUUCAGAAGAAAGUUAUUUGUUUCUUGCCAUUUUGAGCCUGUAAUCGAACCCACAAAUGCUGAUACUCCAGAUACUCAACGAGUCUAAGGCCAGUUUUAUUGCUUCUUUAAUCAGUUUUCAGCUGUGCUAAUAUAAUUGCAAAAGGGUUUUCUAAUGCUCAAUUAGCCUUUUAAAAUUAUAAACUUGGAUUAGCUAACACAAUGUGCCAUUGGAACACAGAAGUGAUGGUUGCUGAUAAUGGGCCACUGUACGCCUAUGUAGAUAUUCCAUAAAAAAUCUGCCGUUUCCAGCUACAAUAGUCAUUUACAACAUUAACCAUGUCUACACUGUAUUUCUGAUCAAUUUGAUGUUAUUUUAAUGGACAAAAAAUGUGUUUUUCUUUAAAAAACAAAGACAUUUCUAAGUGACCCCAAACUUUUGACCAGUAGUGUGUGUGUGUAUAUAUAUAUAAAUUAUUCUUAUUUACAUUUUUCAUAAAAAAAUAUAUACACUUAUAAUCAAAUUUAUGAGAUUAUAUAUGAACAUUCAAUAUUUUUUUUCUAAUUUGUUUCUAUUCCAUUAUAUUAUACAGUACUGUGCUGUUCUGUUACAUUAUACAGUCCUGUACUAUUCUAUUACAUUAUACAGUACUGUACUAUUCUGUUACAUUAUACAGUCCUGUACUAUUCUAUUACAUUA